UGACCCCGCCGCCAUAUUGUUUGACGUUAUUCAAGACGCCAUAUUGUUCCGUUGUUGUUUACCUCGAGUGACAAUUUUUACUACGUGAAUAAUUAAUAAUUAUUAAAGGUGAUUAAUACAAAACUGAAUAGUGAGUUUAUAGAGGUGAAAGGACUAAGUGAUUAUUUCGAGACAUUAUGCCGAGAAAUUCCAGGUGUGUGGUCCCGUAUUGCGGACACGUUCACCAUAAGAAUAAACACUGUAUUUUUGCGAGCUUCCCAAAACAAGUGGAUCGGAGUGGGUACGGAGAAUAGGAGUAAAUGAGUUACGGAAUUUAUCAGUGGAAAGACACAACAAAAUACGUUAUGUUUGUGGAUGUCAUUUCACUGUUGAUCAGUUUCGAAAUCCAUCCAAGAAGAAAUUGAAGGAUACAGCUGUACCAUCUGUGUUUCAUUCACAAGUUGUUCCUCUUGACGAUGAGCUUUUGCAAAAUUUCCCAUAUCCUCAAACAGUCAAGAAUACUCUCCUCCCCACAGAAGCCAAAAGAGUUUCCAUACCUAUGGAAGAUUUGAGGGCGCUCUAUGCAGGAGAAGUACAUCUCAAUAAAAUCAAAAAAUCAUC